rnacentral:ncRNA from 2 species
AGAAUGCGCGCCGUGUCAGGUGCUGCGUACGGAUUCUCCAAGCGCAGUUAAACGGGAAAGCGGUGCGUCUCCAACGAGACCAUGCCGCUGCUGCCCCCGCAACGGUAAGCAAGUGCGGGCGUAUCACACAGCCACUGGGAAAUACCUGGGAAGGCGAUACGUCAAAACUUGCGAGCCCGGAUACCGGCCUGAGACAAAAAGUGGAA